GACGAACGCUGGCGGCGUGCCUAAUACAUGCAAGUCGAGCGGACGAAUCGAAAGCUUGCUUUUGAUUCGUUAGCGGCGGACGGGUGAGUAACACGUGGGCAACCUGCCCUGUAGACGGGGAUAACACCGAGAAAUCGGUGCUAAUACCGGAUAACACGAAAUGUCGCAUGACGUUUCGUUGAAAGACGGCGCAAGCUGCCGCUACAGGAUGGGCCCGCGGCGCAUUAGCUAGUUGGUGAGGUAAAGGCUCACCAAGGCGACGAUACGUAGCCGACCUGAGAGGGUGGUCGGCCACAUGGGGACUGGGACACGGACCAGACUCCUGCGGGAGGCAGCAGUAGGGAAUCUUCCGCAAUGGACGAAAGUCUGACGGAGCAACGCCGCGUGAGCGAAGAAGGCCUUCGGGUCGUAAAGCUCUGUUGUUAGGGAAGAACAAGUAACGCAGUAACUGGCGUUACCGUGACGGUACCUAACGAGAAAGCCACGGCUAACUACGUG
rnacentral:rRNA from 1 species